GUAGGGUCCGAGCGUUGUCCGGAAUUAUUGGGCGUAAAGGGCUCGUAGGCGGUUUGUCGCGUCGGGAGUGAAAACUCAGGGCUCAACCCUGAGCGUGCUUUCGAUACGGGCAGACUAGAGGUAUGCAGGGGAGAACGGAAUUCCUGGUGUAGCGGUGGAAUGCGCAGAUAUCAGGAGGAACACCGGUGGCGAAGGCGGUUCUCUGGGCAUGACCUGACGCUGAGGAGCGAAAGCAUGGGGAGCGAACAGGAUUAGAUACCCUGGUAGUCCAUGCCGUAAACGUUGGGCGCUAGGUGUGGGGACCUUCCAAGGUCUCCGUGCCGCAGCUAACGCAUUAAGCGCCCCGCCUGGGGAGUACGGCCGCAAGGCUA
rnacentral:rRNA from 1 species